rnacentral:rRNA from 1 species
UACGUAGGGGGCAAGCAUUAUCCGGAUUUACUGGGCGUAAAGGGCGCUAAGGCGGCUAGCUAAGUUGGUGGUGAAAUUUCAGGGCUUAACCCUGAAACUGCCUCCAAUACUGGUUAGCUAGAGUGCGAGAGAGGAAGGUGGAAUUCCCGGUGUAGUAGUGAAAUGCGUAGAUAUCGGGAGGAACACCAGUGGCGAAGGCGGCCUUCUGGCUCGCAACUGACGCUGUAACGCGAAAGCGUGGGGAGCGAACGGG